GACGAACGCUGGCGGCGUGCUUAACACAUGCAAGUCGAACGGAAAGGCCCUGCUUUUGUGGGGUGCUCGAGUGGCGAACGGGUGAGUAACACGUGAGUAACCUGCCCUUGACUUUGGGAUAACUUCAGGAAACUGGGGCUAAUACCGGAUAGGAGCUCCUGCUGCAUGGUGGGGGUUGGAAAGUUUCGGCGGUUGGGGAUGGACUCGCGGCUUAUCAGCUUGUUGGUGGGGUAGUGGCUUACCAAGGCUUUGACGGGUAGCCGGCCUGAGAGGGUGACCGGCCACAUUGGGACUGAGAUACGGCCCAGACUCCUACGGGAGGCAGCAGUGGGGAAUAUUGCACAGUGGGCGGAAGCCUGAUGCAGCAACGCCGCGUGCGGGAUGAUGGCCUUCGGGUUGUAAACCGCUUUCGCCUGUGACGAAGCGUGAGUGACGGUAAUGGGUAAAGAAGCACCGGCUAACUACGUG
rnacentral:rRNA from 1 species